UAAUACGGAGGGUGCAAACGUUGCUCGGAAUCAUUGGGCGUAAAGCGCACGUAGGCGGUUCAGUAUGUCGGGUGUGAAAGCCCUCGGCUUAACCGAGGAAGUGCAUUCGAAACUGCUGGACUUGAAUACUGGAGAGGAUCGCGGAAUUCCCGGUGUAGAGGUGAAAUUCGUAGAUAUCGGGAGGAACACCAGUGGCGAA
rnacentral:rRNA from 1 species